UACGUAGGGUGCGAGCGUUAAUCGGAAUUACUGGGCGUAAAGGGCGCGUAGGCGGACAUUUAAGUCAGGGGUGAAAUCCCGAGGCUCAACCUCGGAACUGCCUUUGAUACUGGGUGUCUUGAGUGUGAGAGAGGUAUGUGGAACUCCGAGUGUAGAGGUGAAAUUCGUAGAUAUUCGGAAGAACACCAGUGGCGAAGGCGACAUACUGGCUCAUUACUGACGCUGAGGCGCGAAAGCGUGGGGAGCAAAC
rnacentral:rRNA from 1 species